rnacentral:rRNA from 1 species
UGGGGAAUAUUGGACAAUGGGCGCAAGCCUGAUCCAGCCAUGCCGCGUGAGUGAUGAAGGCCUUAGGGUUGUAAAGCUCUCUUAGCAGGGAAGAUAAUGACGGUACCUGCAGAAAAAGCCCCGGCUAACUUCGUGCCAGCAGCCGCGGUAAUACGAAGGGGGCUAGCGUUGCUCGGAAUUACUGGGCGUAAAGCGCACGUAGGCGGACUCUUAAGUCGGUGGUGAAAUCCUGGAGCUCAACUCCAGAACUGCCUUCGAUACUGGGAGUCUUGAGUUCGGGAGAGGUGAGUGGAACUGCGAGUGUAGAGGUGAAAUUCGUAGAUAUUCGCAAGAACACCUGUGGCGAAGGCGGCUCACUGGCCCGAUACUGACGCUGAGGUGCGAAAGCGUGGGGAGCAAACA